GGGGCUGUGAUGAAACAUCAUGCCAUCUGACUGCAUCUCCGUGCUGAAACCCAGAGGCUGUUUCUGAGCCAG
ensembl:snoRNA